rnacentral:rRNA from 1 species
UGCCAGCCGCCGCGGUAAUACGGAGGGGGCAAGCGUUAUUCGGAUUUAUUGGGCGUAAAGGGCGUGUAGGCGGCUUGAUAAGUCGAAGGUGAAAUCCCAUGGCUCAACCAUGGAACUGCCUUCGAAACUGUCUGGCUAGAGUUCGGGAGAGGGUAGUGGAAUUCCCAGUGUAGCGGUGAAAUGCGUAGAUAUUGGGAGGAACACCAGUGGCGAAGGCGACUACCUGGACCGACACUGACGCUGAGGCGCGAAAGCGUGGGUAGCAAACAGGAUUAGAUA